UACGUAGGGGCCUAGCGUUGUCCGGAUUUAUUGGGCGUAAAGGGCUUGUAGGUGGCCACGCCAAGUCGGAUGUGAAAUCUCCCGGCUCAACUGGGAGGGGUCAUUCGAUACUGGCGGGCUCGAGGCCGGUAGGGGGAAGUGGAAUUCCCGGUGUAGUGGUGGAAUGCGUAGAUAUCGGGAGGAACACCAGUGGCGAAGGCGGCUUCCUGGACCGGUUCUGACACUGAGGAGCGAAAGCGUGGGGAGCGAUCCGG
rnacentral:rRNA from 1 species